UACGAAGGGGCUAGCGUUGCUCGGAAUCACUGGGCGUAAGGCGCACGUAGGCGGCUUACUAAGUCAGGGUGAAAUCCUGGAGCUCAACUCCAGAACUGCCUUUGAUACUGGUGAGCUUGAGUCCGGAAGAGGUGAGUGGAACUGCGAGUGUAGAGGUGAAAUUCGUAGAUAUUCGCAAGAACACCAGUGGCGAAGGCGGACUCACUGGACUGGUAUUGACGCUGAGGUGCGAAAGCG
rnacentral:rRNA from 1 species